GUUUCCGCCCCAGGCUAGUGUCUGAUUCAUAUAACCUGUCAGCUCCACUUUCCCAGUCCCGGCCUCCCUGCCCAGGGAGUUUGUGGAACCGGAAAAGCUCUCGAACUCUGACAGCAUCCCACCUGGCUACGAGCCCAUCUCGCUGCUCGAGGCGCUCAACGGCCUCCGGGCUGUCUCCCCGGCCAUCCCCUCGGCCCCUCUUUAUGAAGAAAUCACCUAUUCAGGCAUCUCGGACGGCCUGUCCCAGGCCAGCUGUCCCCUCGCGGCUAUCGACCACAUCCUGGACAGCAGCCGCCAGAAGGGCAGGCCGCAGAGCAAGGCCCCCGACAGCACCCUACGGUCCCCGUCUUCCCCCAUCCACGAAGAGGAUGAGGAGAAGCUCUCCGAGGACGUGGACGCCCCUCCCCCACUGGGUGGCGCAGAGCUGGCCCUGCGGGAAAGCAGCUCCCCUGAGAGUUUCAUAACAGAAGAGGUUGAUGAGUCGUCGUCACCAAAGCAAGGGACCCGAGCAGCUUCCAUUGAGAAUGUCCUGCAGGACAGCAGCCCCGAGCACUGUGGCCGAGGCCCACCUGCUGACAUCUACCUGCCAG
rnacentral:sRNA from 1 species